rnacentral:tRNA from 1 species
GGCCGAGUGCCCAAGUGGACUAAGGGACCGGAUUGCAAAUCCGGCAUUCGUGGGUUCGAAUCCCACCUCGGCCU